rnacentral:rRNA from 1 species
GACGAACCGUGCAAACGUUGUUCGGAAUCACUGGGCUUAAAGGGUGUGUAGGCGGGUCUCCCAGUCUGCGGUGAAAGCCCCCGGCUUAACCGUGGAAGUGCCGUGGAUACUGGAGACCUCGAGGAGGGUGAGGGGCAGUCUGGAACGGUCGGUGGAGCGGUGAAAUGCGUUGAUAUCGACCGGAACACCGGUGGCGAAGGCGGGUCUCUGGGCAGUAACUGACGCUGAGGAGCGAAAGCGUGGGGAGCGAACAGG